rfam:Triticum aestivum genome assembly, contig: Triticum_aestivum_CS42_TGACv1_scaffold_434427_5DL
AUGGUACUCCCUCCGUCCGGAAACUUGUCACGGAGAUGGAUGUAUCUAGAUGUAUUUUAGUUUAAGAUUCAUCCAUUUCUAUCCAUUUUUACGACGAAUAAUUCAGGACGGAGGGAGUACUAU